rnacentral:lncRNA from 1 species
ACGCUGCUUGCUAACGUUCAAUCCCUGGGAUCAGCGCUGGUGUCUCACCGGAGCUUUGCCUCCAGAAAUAAAUUUCGUUGCCUCUCAUGCAUGGAGCCAUAAAGGGAAUGCGAUGUCUCAUUGUCUACGGAGCCAUGAAUGGUCUUGGUGAUGUCUUCAAGGACACAGUCUGCUAUCUAGAUGUAGUUGUAGGGUUGUUUGUGUACGUGUGGUGUGAGUGAGGUGUCCCUGAUGUGUAAGAUUGGUGUGUGUGAGUGAAGUCCUAUCCAGGUCGCUUGCCUUGGGAGUCUAAGAUCUUGUAUAGUUCUGCUUGGCUGUUGCAGUUUAUUAGCAUGUGUCGCGGCUGUUUUUUUUGUUGAGGCCUGGGUGUGUGUGGGUGUGAGGUUUCUGUACUCGGGGAGAGUCUUUCCAUACUCGCGUACUCUUUUUUUAAAAUGACGCACAACUCUCCUACAUAGUUCGAGAGAAAAAAUAGAUACUACAGUUGUAUCACUAGUAGAGAAAGGACUUUCGAUCCAGAGACAUAUAUCUCAAUCAUUUUUGGACCCGGGACUAAAGAGGGUCAAACGGCCACCACCGAUAGCCACAUCCGAUAGGAGAUUUAGUCCCGGUUGUAACGGCUAUGAUGGAUAAGGGAGUCCGAUGGAGCAUCUAGUCCCGUUGGAAAAAACCGAUCGAAACUAAAGGUCUCUC